rnacentral:snoRNA from 14 species
CAGCACCUUCACUCUUCUAUCAUUCCUGUGUGAAUGCCUAGAUUUAUUAAGGAUGCAAGAGAGAAGAACGGGAAGUUCGAAGACUUGCGGCAAGUUUCUCACGACUCCGCGAGUUCAAAACUAUCACCACAUUU